CUCUGGGAUAGCUCAGGCAGUAGCGCAUGAGACUCUUAAUCUCAGGGUUGUGAGUUCGAGCCCUGUGUUGGGGA